AGUGCAUUUAAAAGAAAAUCAAAUUGAUCCUCAAACUUGGCAGUCUGCAAAAGCUUAUUGAAAGACAAAGCAACUGUUGCACAGCCCUUCUGUGGCUGAUUCAAAGACUGUGAGGGCUAAACUUGCUUUUACCUGUACUCAGUUAUUGUGUGGGUUUUGCUUGGUAUAUUCAUGGUAUAUGAGCCUACCGGUGUGCUGGGAAGUGAUUGCCCAGAGGAAACUUGUCUCUUGCUAGAUAUGCUACCCGAUCAAAGAAGGGACCGAUGAUACAAGGGAAAAUGUAAAAUCUACAGGAAGAGUGGCUCAACUAGAAGUACUGGAGUCCAAGGGCUCUUACAAUGUUUUUUUUUUCCCUUUCAAAUAGAAAUAAUGCAUUUAUGGCCUUGAUGGUCUCUGAGAGCUGGAAAACCCUUGCAAUCCUUUGUAUGGAUUUUCUUUAGCCUUCUAAAUCUCAGUGAUAUGAAUCAAUCAUAUGUGAGCAGCUCUGUAAAAAUCUCACGUCCUUUCCACUAUAUUUCAUCCACCAUCCCCUUCUCCAAUCAAUAGAACAAAAGCCAACUGCAAUCUUCAUUCAUAAUUGGUGCAGAAAACAAGUUUGAUAUUUCAAAAGAAAGUUUCCGUCAUUUCUCCUUAACCUCAACCCUUUUCGUCUCCUCUCUCUGCCAACUAUCAGGUUUCUGACGUUGUUUGAUAAUAAGAGGUGCCUGGUAAGAGGGCACGAGCUCUCACAGUGUCUGACACCACUAGAAGCAGCACCAUCAUUCCUUCUGUUGUAAAUUAAAAGCUUCACAGGGACAUGUGUGAGCAGAAAAACCUCCUGAGCUUAAAAGAAUUGGAAGAGGUGAAUGAGCAAGCAAAAGCUUGAUGGUUCACCUGAGCUGCAUCUCCAGCAGCACAGCCACCUCUCACUCAGGAAAGACUUUGUCUCUUCAUCUCUGUUUCAUACCACUUUGCUCACUUCUGGCUCUUUCCCAGUUAUGCAGUGGCAUAAGGCUUUUUUACAUCAGACCUCGGGGACAUGUAACCUGCAGCUUAUACCCUGUAUAGGCCACAAGUGUUGCUAAAGAGAUGUUAGGGCUCUGGGGACAGAAGCUUUGGAUUUUGACAGCUCUAUGUGGUGCUGCAAGCAGCACAAAGCAUGGACACCACACAGCAACUCAGAGGGAUCAGAGGGAUCUCAGGGUCGCUUGCAACUUUGACUUCUUCCCUCAAGCUUCUCAAUGAAUUUCCCAACCUUUCUGCACAAUGAAGGUUUAACUUUGCUGUGAUUUUUGAGACAGAGAGGAAAGAAAGAGAGCAGAUGAAGUCUUACCUGGAAGUUUGCAUGGUGCUGGGCAUCACAGCCCAGUCCUGCCCAGAAGAAGAUGGCGUGCCUGCAGCCUGUAGGCACAGAGGGGGGUGAGCAGAGGAGAUGCUAUGGGUAAAGGCAGUCUCACUGCUGCAGCAGUGCCAGGCACUCUAGGUGCAGAAUAGCCAUACGAAUUACCAUCAUCAUAGGCAACACCUUACUUUAUUCAAUGCCUGAAGCAAGGUUUUAUCCUGCCUGGUUUUAUGCUGAAACCAUAUUUCUGUCCCCUCCAUCCCUGUCACCUCAAGGCACAGAGCUUCUCGGGGUCACAGAACUGGGGUGAGGUUUCCUCACGGGCUGCUGUGCGCCAACCCUGCUGCACUGUGAUGGGAGCAAAGCACUGCAAGAAGAGGUGGAAAAUUACCUGCAAGUCAUUUGGUUUUUGUUUAGCCUUCAGCUGAGGAGCAGCUCCUUGAAGCAGCACCAGGACACCGGUGUCACACUGCUGAGAAGAGCACAUGGGAGAAGAAGCCCUGAUGCAAGCCUUGACUUGAUUUUUAUUCCAUUUGAUGUAGAAAUUGACGAAUACUACAACAGUUGCAGUGAGAGGAGAUCGUGACACCUCCACGCAUCCCUUCCCCUGUAUCAGCCCUUCAGAGUCCCUCACAACUGACAGUGGCUUCAGGCACAGCUUUACCAUUUUGGCUCUGGAUGUGUUUUAAUAUCAGUCUGGGGAGGGCAGUGGAUGUAAAAUUCCCCUUAAAAAGCAGUGAUAGGUAAUUAUUUUCUGUUUCUGCAGAGGAGGAUGUACAUGUAGAUACUGUAGUUUUCCUUUUGGUGAGUAUGACUAACACUAACCCAUGCAGGAGGGCAUCUGUGCCUUCUCAUUAACUGGAGGGGGACAGCAAAGAGGAGCUGCACUCAUGCAGAUACAGCCUGUAAAGCUGUGUAGUGCAGUAACAUCUUUUGCACUAAAAUUUUCAGAGAGGCUUAAAUUGUCACGGUGAAAGGUAGAAGGUCCCAGGAGCUUGUUUUGUGCCUCUUCUCCUUGGGCUCAGCUUAAAGGCUCCUGAUAAGGAGCAGCGCUGGUGCUGUCAGUGCCUGGGAGCUGGCUAUGCUUCUCCAGAAGAAACACCCAUCUGCCAGCUGCUAGUCCCAGGGCUCAAACAGCUCUCACAAUGGUCUGACAUGAAGCUAAGCCUCUUAUCUUAUGUGUUGUAACCAUGCAGCUGGAAGCAAACUUAUAUAUGCAAAUUGUACAUCAGUAAAUAGUGACAAACGUGACCUGAUUCCUCGGGCAUUACGUGUUGAUAUUGGUAUCUUUUGUGCUUUGGAAAUACAAAAUGGGUAUGGGAAAAUAAAUUAGAGAGUGUUGGGAGUUUUGUCACCAGAAGUACUUAACUUUUUUUUUUUUUUUUUAAAGGAAGGAACUCUCAGUUGUGCUGCAAGUUGAGAGACACUAGCCUCAGAAAGCCACUGGAUGUUUUUGGCUUGCUUCUUGCAGUCUUUACUGCUGCAAUACCACUCAAACAAGGAUAAAACUCACGAGUGCCUGGUUCAGCAAGUCACUGCCUAGCUCUCUCUGUGGGCCUCCGUGUACCACUCUGCCCAUUUGUCUCAAAGCACCUGAUGACACACAGACAUGGGGUUACAGGCAG